rnacentral:lncRNA from 1 species
UAUAAUUUUGUAGGUUGGUGGAUAUAGUUGUAUUUAAUAUAUAUUGUGAAUUUAAAUUUAAUUAAAUAAUUAGAUAAAAUAUGAUUAUCAUUUUACUUAUUCUAUAAAUUUCUUUUAAAAUAAACCCGUAGAGGGGGGUUCAAACACAAUGAAAGACUAUUGCAUGAACUUACACAUUGAGGUCAUACAAUUAACCAUAAUUUGAACCACUAAAAUACCAAGAAAUACUACAAUAUUUUUUCCUAGUAAUAAUACUCCUUCGUCAAUUGAUAACAACAAUGUACAAUCCUACACUCUCAAAAGACCGCUUAAAACACAUAAAUUCCAACUAACACCAAAAAUAACAGACUUCACACCAACCAAUCUAGAUUCAUAUAAUUUUUAUAAUCACAGACUUCCUCAGUCGAAACACACACAACUCUCAAUAAACAACAAUCAUAAUCUUCCAUCCAUAAUCAAUCUUUCAAUAAAUUCUCAUAUAAUUCAAUCACAUAGUACUCCGAUUAUAUAAUCAAUAACUCAUAAAUCAAUCUGUGAUUUAUUCCAUAGAUUCUUUUUUCAAUAUUCAAAAACUAUCCAUUACUCUUUAACAACAAAGAAACAAAGAGAUAGCACCAAGCUUAUCCCAGCUCAUGACUAUCAUA